CCCAGUCAGUCACAGUCUCGGUGUUAUGCUAUUGUUGAGCUAACACAGUUAGCCGAAGAUACAACGGUCUCCGAACCUCAUUCUACACACAACACUACAAGUCGUCCACUUAUAUGCGGUUGAAUCCAGCAACGUGGACCAGCUGCUGAAUCACGUGAUGUCGACCAGCUGUUGAGUCUAGAGACGUGGACCAGGUGUUGAGUCGCGGGAUGUCCAUUUGGCCAUAGGUGAGAAGCCCCACAAGUGUAGCAUGUGUGACUUCAGAUGCCGAGAUGAGUCGUACCUCUCGAAGCAUAUGCUCACUCACUCAGACGACAAGAACUUCAUGUGCGCUGAAUGUGGAUACGUCACUAAAUGGAAGCACUAUCUGAAUGUCCACAUGAGGAAACAUGCUGGAGACCUCAGGUACCGGUGUGACCAGUGCCCCUACCGCUGCCACCGCAUGGACCAGCUAAACAGCCACAAGUUACGGCAUCAGGCCAAAUCCCUCAUG